CCACUUCGGUGGGGAUUAGUGGCGAACGGGUGAGUAACACGUGGGCAAUCUGCCCUGCACUCUGGGACAAGCCCUGGAAACGGGGUCUAAUACCGGAUAUGACCAUCUUGGGCAUCCUUGAUGGUGUAAAGCUCCGGCGGUGCAGGAUGAGCCCGCGGCCUAUCAGCUUGUUGGUGAGGUAACGGCUCACCAAGGCGACGACGGGUAGCCGGCCUGAGAGGGCGACCGGCCACACUGGGACUGAGACACGGCCCAGACUCCUACGGGAGGCAGCAGUGGGGAAUAUUGCACAAUGGGCGCAAGCCUGAUGCAGCGACGCCGCGUGAGGGAUGACGGCCUUCGGGUUGUAAACCUCUUUCAGCAGGGAAGAAGCGAAAGUGACGGUACCUGCAGAAGAAGCGCCGGCUAACUACGUGCCAGCAGCCGCGGUAAUACGUAGGGCGCGAGCGUUGUCCGGAAUUAUUGGGCGUAAAGAGCUCGUAGGCGGCUUGUCGCGUCGGUUGUGAAAGCCCGGGGCUUAACCCCGGGUCUGCAGUCGAUACGGGCAGGCUAGAGUUCGGUAGGGGAGAUCGGAAUUCCUGGUGUAGCGGUGAAAUGCGCAGAUAUCAGGAGGAACACCGGUGGCGAAGGCGGAUCUCUGGGCCGAUACUGACGCUGAGGAGCGAAAGCGUGGGGAGCGAACAGGAUUAGAUACCCUGGUAGUC
rnacentral:rRNA from 1 species